UACGGAGGGUACAAGCGUUGUUCGGAAUCACUGGGCGUAAAGCGGGUGUAGGCGGCCAGCUGUGUCGAGUGUGAAAGCCCUCGGCUCAACCGAGGAAGUGCAUUCGAAACUGGCUGGCUUGAGUACGGGAGAGGAAGGCGGAAUUCCCGGUGUAGAGGUGAAAUUCGUAGAUAUCGGGAGGAACACCAGUGGCGAAGGCGGCCUUCUGGACCGAUACUGACGCUCAGACCCGAAAGCGUGGGGAGCAAACAGG
rnacentral:misc_RNA from 1 species